UGGGGAAUUUUGGACAAUGGGGGAAACCCUGAUCCAGCCAUUCCGCGUGAGUGAAGAAGGCCUUCGGGUUGUAAAGCUCUUUCGGCAGGAACGAAACGGUGAGCUCUAACAUAGCUUGCUAAUGACGGUACCUGAAGAAGAAGCACCGGCUAACUACGUGCCUGCAGCCGCGGUAAUACGUAGGGUGCGAGCGUUAAUCGGAAUUACUGGGCGUAAAGCGUGCGCAGGCGGUUUUGUAAGACAGGUGUGAAAUCCCCGGGCUUAACCUGGGAACUGCGCUUGUGACUGCAAGACUAGAGUGUGGCAGAGGGGGGUGGAAUUCCACGUGUAGCAGUGAAAUGCGUAGAGAUGUGGAGGAACACCGAUGGCGAAGGCAGCCCCCUGGGUCAACACUGACGCUCAUGCACGAAAGCGUGGGGAGCAAACAGG
rnacentral:rRNA from 1 species